AGCCUACGGGGCGCAGCAGUGAGGAAUAUUGGUCAAUGGUCGGGAGACUGAACCAGCCAAGCCGCGUGAGGGAGGAAGGUACAGAGUAUCGUAAACCUCUUUUGUCAGGGGACAAAGACUGGGACGCGUCCCCGGAUGAGUGUACCUGAAGAAAAAGCAUCGGCUAACUCCGUGCCAGCAGCCGCGGUAAUACGGAGGAUGCGAGCGUUAUCCGGAUUUAUUGGGUUUAAAGGAUGCGCAGUCGGUCUGUUAAGUCAGCGGUCAAAGCACGGGGCCCAACCCCGGCCCGCCGUUGGAACUGGCAG
rnacentral:rRNA from 1 species